GGGGAGAUUAUGUUGGCAUCAGACUAUGAGAAAAUGCAUUUGAUCCAAGCAGACAAAGGCAGCCCACCUUUCUAGAUGACAUGGUCCAUUACAACUUAGCCUUCACUGUUGCUAUGCUGUGGUUAUGUGACUUGGAUGCUCAAACUGUACUGACAAGAGAGAAAAUGAAUUUGGCAGCUCACAGCCGAUACAUGUAUCCCAAUCGAAUUGAGAGAGAAGCUAUGAUAUUAUCUUCAUAUGCUGGGA